GACGAACGCUGGCGGCGUGCUUAACACAUGCAAGUCGAACGGAAAGGCCCUGCUUUUGCGGGGUGCUCGAGUGGCGAACGGGUGAGUAACACGUGAGUAACCUGCCCUUGACUUUGGGAUAACUUCAGGAAACUGGGGCUCAUACCGGAUAGGAGCUCCUGCUGCAUGGUGGGGGUUGGAAAGUUUCGGCGGUUGGGGAUGGACUCGCGGCUUAUCAGCUUGUUGGUGGGGUAGUGGCUUACAAAGGCUUUGACGGAUAGCCGGCCUGGGAGGGGGGCCAGCGACAAUAGGACUGAGGGACGCAGCAGACGGGUACGGGAGGCAGCGGGCGGAAAUAUUACACAACGGGGGGGAGCGUGAUACGACGGCGCCGGGUGCGGAAUGCCGGGUUUCGAGGGGUAAACCGCUUUCGCAUGAGACGAAGCGGGAUUGACGGUAAUGAAUAAAGAAGCACCGGCUAACUACGUG
rnacentral:rRNA from 1 species